rnacentral:lncRNA from 1 species
UGGAUACCAUUAAGAGUUCAUUAUCAUGCUAAUAGCAAUCAACACGAUGAAGGGGUGGGAACCACAGCCCAUCGAGUGUCCCUUCGCUGCACUGGGUUUCCUCGCCCCCCGCCCCUGCACUCAGACCUGGGACAAUGGCAUCUGUUUUGGAUAAGACACGGAGCUGGCCGUGCCGGAUCGCCACGUCAGGCCGGUGCUGACGUCGCUGUAGAGGGAUCCCGCCCCGCCGCCCGCGCCCCCGCCCCCCGCGCCCCCAGGUCCCCCCGCGCUCCCUGCGGCCGCGCCCCCCGCGCCCCCGCCUCCCGGGGCGCUCUUGCUCGCCCAGCAGCAGCGGGUGCACAGGGCACGCCACGACUCCAGCGUCUUGCCAGACCAGACCCACACGCCCGAGGUGAUGCCCACCACCAGGCACAUGAAAUACUUGAGCAUGAAGACGGCGUAGUCGGGCCGGCGCGCCUGGUCCGGCUGCAGGUCCCGCAGGCACGGGCAGUUGUGCGUGGCCUCCCAGCGCGGGCGGUUGUGCUGCUCGUAGAAGAGGCAGGCCACCACGACGGCGGCCGGCACCGUGUAGAGCACCGUGAACAGGCCCAGGCGGAUCAUGAGCUUCUCCAGCUUGUGUGUCUUGGUGGGGCCGCCCUGCUGCUUGAUCACCGAGCGGAUGCGGAACAGCGACACGAAGCCGGCCAGCAGGAACAUGGUGCCGAUGAAGAGGUAGAUGACGAGCGGCGCCAGCACGAAGCCGCGCAGGUUGUCAAGGCUCUGGUUGCCCACGUAGCAGAUGCCGGCCACCGGGUCGCCGUCCACGGAGCUGAGCGCCAGCACGGCGAUGGACUUGACGCUAGGCACCAGCCACGCGGCCAGGUGGAAGUACUGCGAGUAACCGGCGAUGGCCUCAUUGCCCCACUUCAUGCCCGCCGCCAGGAACCACGUGAGCGACAGGAUCACCCACCAGAUGGAGCUGGCCAUGCCGAAGAAGUAGACGAGCAGGAAGACCACGGUGCACAGCGCGGGGCCCGUGGUCUCGUAGCGCACGUGCUGCUCCACGGCGCCCAGCUCCUCGUACUCGCCGCGCCCGCCCGGGCCGCCCGCGCCCGCGCCCGCCGCGCCCGCGCCCGCCGCCGCCGCCGCCGCCGCGCCCCCCGCGCCCGCGGUGCCGCCUGCGCCCGGCGCGCCGCCGCUGCACGCCACCUUCUCGUGGCCCGCCACCAGGCGCACCAGGUAGCCGACGGACACGAAGAGGUAGCAGGCGGAGAGGAAGAUGAUGGGCCGCUCGGGGUACUUGAAGCGCUCCAUGUCGAUGAGGAAGGUGGACACGGUGGCGAAGGUGGACACGAAGCACAGCACAGACCACAGGCCGAUCCAGAAGACCGUGAAGGCGCGCUCGUCCUGGCUGAAGAACGGGUUGUGGCAGGGCAGCGCGCAGUUGGCGAUCUGGCCGGUCUUGACGCGGUUGUAGAGCGGGUGCCGCUCGCUGGACACGCUCACCAUGGGCGCGCGGCACUGGCAGCCCGGCUCGCAGGGCGCAGGGCCGCCGCCAGGGGGCCGCGCCUUCCCGCCGCCGCCGCCGCCGCCGCCGCCGCGCGUGGGGGGCGCCGCCGCCGCCGCCGCCGCCGCGUCCCCGCCGCCACCGCCCCUACCGCGGGACGGGGGCCUGGCCCCGGGCGGGCGGCCGUGGCCGCUGCCGGAGGGCGGCUGCUCACCCGGGGGCGGCGGCGGCGGCGGCGGCAGGCGGCGCGGCGGGCUGGGCGCGGCUGUGGUCAGGUCCGUGCGGUUGUAGUCCAUGCACAGCGUGUCGGGGUUGCCCUGCUCCGGCAGCCGGUCGCAGCGCAUGCGGUCGGGCCACGCGAAGCCGUACUGGCGCAUGAGGGGUGCGCAGCCGGCCUUGGCGCGCUCGCACACCGAGCGGCACGGAGGCAGGGGCUUCUUGUAGUCCUCCAGGCAGAUGGGCGUGUACAUGCUGCACAGGAAGAACUUGAGGUCGGGCGAGCACUGGAUCUCCACCAGCGGCCAGAACUGGUGCACCUCCAGGCCCGCCUCGUCCUGCGUGUCGUGGUUGAACUGGUUGGGCAUGUACGUGUAGUUGUAGCCGAUGCCCUUGCACAGCGGCACGGUGAUUUCUUGGCACGCCAGCUCCUUGGCCGAGGCGGCUGCCGCGCCGCUCGAGCGCUGCAGCAGCGCCAAGGCGGCCAGCAGCGAGGUCACUUCCAACAGAGGGCCCUCCACCAGGACGUCAGGUGCAGAGCAACAACAGGGAAUCGCGGGGGUCGGGGCGCGGAUGGAGGCAGUCCGUCCCCCGAGGAGGACCUACUACUGGCCGCACGUUGCCCAGGGGCUGGGCUCCAAAACCAACACAGGGAAAGGAUUUUGUCAGAAGGAAGUACUCUUUGCUGUGUCUGCUGUCAGAAGGCCCACUUGUGA